rnacentral:rRNA from 1 species
UACGUAGGGAGCAAGCGUUGUCCGGAAUCAUUGGGCGUAAAGCGCGCGUAGGUGGCCACAUAAGUCCGUUGUGAAAGUCAAAGGCUCAACCUUUGAAAGCCGAUGGAUACUGUGUGGCUAGAGUACGGAAGAGGCGAGUGGAAUUCCUGGUGUAGCGGUGGAAUGCGCAGAUAUCAGGAGGAACACCGGUGGCGAAGGCGGGUCUCUGGGCCGAAAUUGACGCUGAGGAGCGAAAGCGUGGGGAGCAAACAGG